rnacentral:lncRNA from 1 species
CUAAAGUGAGUAAAGAUAAGAUGAAGUCUGAAUUUGGUCAAAAAAAGAAAACCCCAGAAGGAGCAGAGUCAAGACGUAUGCAAUGCUCAGAGCUCAGAGAGCUGACCAGGUUGCAUGAGAAGUCUCCGAAGACCUAGAAAAAGGUUUUGCUUACUUUAAAGAAAUGAAAUGGAAGUUCUGUGUCAUUGGCUUGUCCAGCUGAAGGGCUGGUGGGUCAUCAUCAGGGAGCGUGGUAGGUAAGAGAAGGCACAGGAGGCUGUCCCGUGAUCGAAACUCUUUUAGUAACUGGAAUAGAGACCAUUUCAAAUCCAAACCGAGUCACCAGACGUCAGCUACAUGUGAGAUGAAAAACACAGUGAAGAAGUUGGAGCAUGACUCUCAUUCACCGUUCACUGUCUUUGGUUAAAAGCCCACUGGAAAAUGAAUGCAAGAUCUUUAGCAAAAAAAAAAAAAGGUAGAGAUUUGUAACAAAAUCUAUUAGCAAAGAUAUAUGACUCUGCAAAGGGGACUGAUUCAGGAAGAGUAAGAGAGAACAGAAGGAGCCGCAGGGUCAGCAACAAAGGAAAUGAGAACUUAAGAGGAGAGAAUUCAAGAAAAGGAGGAAGAAUUGCCGAAGCCAAGUGGUCUGGAUAAAUUCCAGAUUGCUAUUCAUGAAAAGAAAGCUUCUGACAGCUGGGGUCACUGUUGGUCAUUCAGCAAAACGAGCUCUUGCUGGAGAGAAGAUCAGGCUGUGCACUCCAGGUGUAAAUUAACACAGGCGGACCAGGGGCAGCAGGCUCACUGCCAGUUGGGGGUACACACAGACACACACAAGCACACAGACGUACACGCACAUGCACACACAUACACAGAUGCACACAGACACACGCACAUGCACACACAGAGGCACAGACACACGCACAUGCACACACAGAUGCACACAGACACACGCACAUGCACACACAGAGGCACAGACACACGCACAUGCACACACAGAUGCACACACACACACACAUGCACACACAGAGGCACAGACACACGCACAUGCAUACACAGAUGCACACAGACACACGCACAUGCACACACAGAGGCACAGACACACGCACAUGCAUACACAGAUGCACACACAGACACACGCACAUGCACACACAGAGGCACAGACACACACA